rnacentral:rRNA from 1 species
UGGGGAAUAUUGCACAAUGGGCGCAAGCCUGAUGCAGCCAUGCCGCGUGUAUGAAGAAGGCCUUCGGGUUGUAAAGUACUUUCAGUCGUGAGGAAGGCAUUAACGUUAAUAGCGUUAGUGUUUGACGUUAGCGACAGAAGAAGCACCGGCUAACUCCGUGCCAGCAGCCGCGGUAAUACGGAGGGUGCGAGCGUUAAUCGGAAUUACUGGGCGUAAAGCGCAUGCAGGUGGUUUGUUAAGUCAGAUGUGAAAGCCCGGGGCUCAACCUCGGAACCGCAUUUGAAACUGGCAGGCUAGAGUACUGUAGAGGGGGGUAGAAUUUCAGGUGUAGCGGUGAAAUGCGUAGAGAUCUGAAGGAAUACCAGUGGCGAAGGCGGCCCCCUGGACAGAUACUGACACUCAGAUGCGAAAGCGUGGGGAGCAAACAGGAUUAGAUACCCCCGUAGUCC